UAGAGAGUAGGUGCCGUCACGAGUCUUACGGAGAGGGAGAAUUGGGUCGAGACAGCUAUACUUCAACGUAUUCGGUGGAGUUCGUGUCAGAUUUGCAGAGGCUUUGCCUUGAAUAACUGGACCUCUUUCACCAUGAACUUUCAGCCUAGAGUUUUUAUCACUAUAAGAGUACUCCCAGAUGGCGAAAGAGAACUCAAACAUGUGAGAUUCAGGAAAAUAUGGGUGAUAGCAAUUGGAUAUGGCGGACAAAAGUUAAUUGAUCUAUUGGAGUACAUGAUAAAGACUUUUUGAGUAAUUGUGAUGUUUAUUAUUAUGAUACUAUAGGAAAACAUUCAGUUUAUAGAGUUCGUUGUUAGUGCACAUGUUGAAAUAUUGUUUAUUAGUAUGUAUAGAAUACGAAAUAUGUUUCUGUUAUAAAAUAAAAGCAAUUUAGUGAAACAUGAACAAGACAUGUUGUUAUGAAA